rnacentral:rRNA from 1 species
UACGGGGGGGGCAAGCGUUGUUCGGAAUUACUGGGCGUAAAGGGUUCGUAGGUGGCUUUCUAAGUCAGACGUGAAAUCCCUCAGCUUAACUGGGGAACUGCGUCUGAAACUGGCGAGCUUGAGUGCAGGAGAGGAACGCGGAAUUCCAGGUGUAGCGGUGAAAUGCGUAGAGAUCGGGAGGAAGGCCGGUGGCGAAGGCGGCGCUCUGGAACAUUUCUGACGCUGAGGCUCGAAAGCGUGGGGAGCAAACAGG